UUAAGUGUAUGUUUACCUGUUAUAUGACCAGGAUUAGCAUUACUGGUACUGACUUCCAUAUCAUCAUUAGUACUUCUUCCAGCUGUGGGAUCUGUCACUUUGUCAUCAAUAGUUCUAGCUAGUUCAUUCUCUUUACAUUGUUUCAAAGCAUUAAUGACAUCUCCCCAUGAUGCUGUAGGAUCAACUUGUAACCAUCUCUUAUGUAAAGCCAUUUUCAUGAAGAAGACAAAGAGCAAAUGGUUUCCAGUCAACAAGUGGUUUAAGACACUUUGCAAAUAAGAGACAA
rnacentral:lncRNA from 1 species